UACAUGCAGUCGAGCGGACAGAUGGGAAGCUUGCUUCCCUGAUGUUAGCGGCGGACGGGUGAGUAACACGUGGGUAACCUGCCUGUAAGAACUGGGAUAACUCCGGGAAACCGGGGCUAAUACCGGAUGCUUGUUUGAACCGCAUGGUUCAAACAUAAAAGGUGGCUUCGGCUACCACUUACAGAUGGACCCGCGGCGCAUUAGCUAGUUGGUGAGGUAAUGGCUCACCAAGGCGACGAUGCGUAGCCGACCUGAGAGGGUGAUCGGCCACACUGGGACUGAGACACGGCCCAGACUCCUACGGGAGGCAGCAGUAGGGAAUCUUCCGCAAUGGACGAAAGUCUGACGGAGCAACGCCGCGUGAGUGAUGAAGGUUUUCGGAUCGUAAAGCUCUGUUGUUAGGGAAGAACAAGUACCGUUCGAAUAGGGCGGUACCUUGACGGUACCUAACCAGAAAGCCACGGCUAACUACGUGCCAGCAGCCGCGGUAAUACGUAGGUGGCAAGCGUUGUCCGGAAUUAUUGGGCGUAAAGGGCUCGCAGGCGGUUUCUUAAGUCUGAUGUGAAAGCCCCCGGCUCAACCGGGGAGGGUCAUUGGAAACUGGGGAACUUGAGUGCAGAAGAGGAGAGUGGAAUUCCACGUGUAGCGGUGAAAUGCGUAGAGAUGUGGAGGAACACCAGUGGCGAAAGCGACUCUCUGGUCUGUAACUGACGCUUAGGAGCGAAAGCGUGGGGAGCGAACAGGAUUAGAUACCCUGGUAGUCCACGCCGUAAACGAUGAGUGCUAAGUGUUAGGGGGUUUCCGCCCCUUAGUGCUGCAGCUAACGCAUUAAGCACUCCGCCUGGGGAGUACGGUCGCAAGACUGAAACUCAAAGGAAUUGACGGGGGCCCGCACAAGCGGUGGAGCAUGUGGUUUAAUUCGAAGCAACGCGAAGAACCUUACCAGGUCUUGACAUCCUCUGACAAUCCUAGAGAUAGGACGUCCCCUUCGGGGGCAAAAUGACAAGUGGUGCAUGGUUGUCGUCACCUCCUGUCCUGAAAAUGUUGGGUUAAUUCCCCCAACAAAGGCAACCCUUGAUCUUAUUUGCCACCAUUCAUUUGGGCA
rnacentral:rRNA from 1 species